rnacentral:rRNA from 1 species
CCUACGGGCGGCUGCAGUGGGGAAUAUUGCACAAUGGGCGCAAGCCUGAUGCAGCCAUGCCGCGUGUGUGAAGAAGGCCUUCGGGUUGUAAAGCACUUUCAGCGGGGAGGAAGGCGGUGAGGUUAAUAACCUCAUCGAUUGACGUUACCCGCAGAAGAAGCACCGGCUAACUCCGUGGCAGCAGCCGCGGUAAUACGGAGGGUGCAAGCGUUAAUCGGAAUUACUGGGCGUAAAGCGCACGCAGGCGGUCUGUCAAGUCGGAUGUGAAAUCCCCGGGCUCAACCUGGGAACUGCAUUCGAAACUGGCAGGCUAGAGUCUUGUAGAGGGGGGUAGAAUUCCAGGUGUAGCGGUGAAAUGCGUAGAGAUCUGGAGGAAUACCGGUGGCGAAGGCGGCCCCCUGGACAAAGACUGACGCUCAGGUGCGAAAGCGUGGGGAGCAAACAGGAUUAGAUACCCCAGUAGUC